ensembl:lncRNA
CAAAGAGCCCAGUAGCAACCUGCUCAGCCCAUCUCAGGUGGUGGUGGAGGUGGUGCCCAGACUCCUCCUGGCCCUGUGGCUUCAACCAGAGGAAGGCCAUUCAGAGCACCCAAUCCUAAUAAGCGGGAUGGCCGUGGGCAUGGUGGCGGCCGUAGUGGAGAAGCUCUCCUGCAUGUUAAAGGACCCUUCCCCUCACAUCCCUUUCUCCCGGGCUGCUGCUUUUGACUCUGUGCGGUCGAUCCUCGGGAGAAUCAGUCAGUCCUUCUCCACAGAUGACCUGCAGAGCCCUUUUUAUAUGAGCUCUGUCUGUGGCUUUGUGGCUGACGAGGUGCAGAGCUGCUUCCAGCCCCCUGCAGCCACCCUACCAGUCCCCCCUGUGCUCACGGUGGCCGUUUCCACCACACUACCAGCUGGCAUCCAAGCAGACCCGGCUUCUUCCCACCUGGAGGUUGUGGACAUCACCACUAACACAGAGACAGAUCCGGCUUCUUCCCACCUGGAGGUUGAGGACAUCACCCCUAAGACAGAGGCAGAUCCGGCUUCUUCCCACCUGGAGGUUGAGGACAUCACCCCUAAGACAGAGGCAGAUCCGGCUUCUUCCCACCUGGAGGUUGUGGACAUCACCACUAACACAGAGACAGAUCCGGGUUCUUCCCACCUGGAGGUUCAAGACAUCACCACUAACACAGAGGCAGAUCCUGCUUCUUCCAACCUGAAUGUGGUGGACAUCACCCCUAAUACAGAGGCAGAGCCCAUCUCUUCCCUCUUGGAGGUUGUGGACCUCACACCUGAAGAAAGGACUCUCACGAUGGCCGUCUCCGCCACUCUGCCAGCUGACAUCCAAGCAGAGGAUGAUGCUGUGGUCACCCCACACGUCACCAAGGACAUGACACUGGAUGUUCCAUGCAGAGCUAGGAAAGGGGCAGUCUGGCGAUUAUUUUGCAGGCUUUGGAGGGCAGUGUGCUGCUGCGCCUGCCACAAGGAAGAGGAGGAACAAUAUUAAUUAUUCAUCAGACCUUCAGAAAUGGGAUUGAAC